rnacentral:rRNA from 1 species
ACACAUGCAAGUCGAACGGUAACAUUUCUAGCUUGCUAGAAGAUGACGAGUGGCGGACGGGUGAGUAAUGCUUGGGAACUUGCCUUUGCGAGGGGGAUAACAGUUGGAAACGACUGCUAAUACCGCAUAAUGUCUUCGGACCAAACGGGGCUUCGGCUCCGGCGCAAAGAGAGGCCCAAGUGAGAUUAGCUAGUUGGUAAGGUAACGGCUUACCAAGGCGACGAUCUCUAGCUGUUCUGAGAGGAAGAUCAGCCACACUGGGACUGAGACACGGCCCAGACUCCUACGGGAGGCAGCAGUGGGGAAUAUUGCACAAUGGGGGAAACCCUGAUGCAGCCAUGCCGCGUGUGUGAAGAAGGCCUUCGGGUUGUAAAGCACUUUCAGUUGUGAGGAAAAGUUAGUAGUUAAUACCUGCUAGCCGUGACGUUAACAACAGAAGAAGCACCGGCUAACUCCGUGCCAGCAGCCGCGGUAAUACGGAGGGUGCGAGCGUUAAUCGGAAUUACUGGGCGUAAAGCGCACGCAGGCGGUUUGUUAAGCUAGAUGUGAAAGCCCCGGGCUCAACCUGGGAUGGUCAUUUAGAACUGGCAGACUAGAGUCUCGGAGAGGGGAGUGGAAUUCCAGGUGUAGCGGUGAAAUGCGUAGAUAUCUGGAGGAACAUCAGUGGCGAAGGCGACUCCCUGGCCAAAGACUGACGCUCAUGUGCGAAAGUGUGGGUAGCGAACAGGAUUAGAUACCCUGGUAGUCCACACCGUAAACGCUGUCUACUAGCUGUGUGUGUCUUUAAGACGUGCGUAGCGAAGCUAACGCGCUAAGUAGACCGCCUGGGGAGUACGGGCCGCAAGGUUAAAACUCAAAUGAAUUUGACGGGGGCCCGCACAAGCGUGGAGCAUGUGUUUAUUCGAUGCAACGGCGAAGAACCUACCUACACUUGACAUGCAGAGACUUUCUAGAGAUAGAUUGGUGCCUUCGGGAACUCUGACACAGUGCUAGCAUGGCUGGCG